AACGCAAAUUGCACUUCCUGGUAUUCCGGGGAGUAUGCCUGUUUGAGGGUCGCCUAAAAAUAAACAUCGAUUACGUUGCUUUUUUCAUCAAAAAAAAGUUGAUGUUAUCGGAUUUGAGCUUUCUUUAUUUUUUUUUAAUAAAGUGGUUUAAAAUAUUAUUUUUGGUAUCAUCGAAAUUGUAUUUUACGAUCAGUUGAUUAUAAAGAAACGAUUUCGAAUACCACCCUUUAAAUGUAAUACGUUUGAACUAUUGUAGUUGUAUAUAUAUACAUAUAUAUAUUUAAUCUAGUUCCAAUUCGUAUACGAUAUUUUUCAAUUUUUGACCUCAAAUCAGGUAAGAAUACCCGCUGAACUUAA
rnacentral:misc_RNA from 1 species